rnacentral:lncRNA from 1 species
GUAUCCCCCUUUCCCUAUACAACUGACUAGGUAUCCCCCUUUCCCUAUACAACUGACUAGGUAUCCCGUUUCCCUUUACAACUGACUAGGUAUCCCCCUUUCCCUAUACAACUGACUAGGUAUCCCCCUUUCCCUUUACAACUGACUAGGUAUCCCCCUUUCCCUAUACAACUGACUAGGUAUCCCCCUUUCCCUAUACAACUGACUAGGUAUCCCCCUUUCCCUAUACAACUGACUAGGUAUCCCCCGUUCCCUAUUCAACUGACUAGGUAUCCCCCUUUCCCUAUACAACUGACUAGGUAUCCCCCUUUCCCUAUACAACUGACUAGGUAUCCCCCUUUCCCUAUACAACUGACUAGGUAUCCCCUUUCCC